rnacentral:rRNA from 1 species
CCUACGGGUGGCAGCAGUGAGGAAUAUUGGUCAAUGGACGAGAGUCUGAACCAGCCAAGUAGCGUGAAGGAUGACUGCCCUCUGGGUUGUAAACUUCUUUUAUAUGGGAAUAAAAUGUUCCGCGUGUGGGAUUUUGUAUGUAUCAUAUGAUUAAGGGUAGGCUAACGCUGUGCCAGCGGCCGCGGUAAUAAGGAUGAUCCGGGCGUUAUCCGGAUUUGGUGGGUUUAAAGGGAGCGUAGGUGGAUUGUUAAGUCAGUUGUGAAAGUUUGCGGCUCAACCGUAAGAUUGCAGUUGAAACUGGCAGUCUUGAGUACAGUAGAGGUGGGCGGAAUUCGUGGUGUAGCGGUGAAAUGCUUAGAUAUCAGGAAGAACUCCGAUUGCGAAGGCAGCUCUCUGGACUGCAACUGACACUGAGGCUCGAAAGUGUGGGUAUCAAACAGGAUUAGAUACCCGAGUAGUC